rnacentral:rRNA from 1 species
UACGGAGGGGGCAAGCGUUAUCCGGAUUCACUGGGUUUAAAGGGUGCGUAGGUGGGUUGGUAAGUCAGUGGUGAAAUCUCCGGGCUUAACUCGGAAACUGCCGUUGAUACUAUCAUUCUUGAAUCUCGUGGAGGUAAGCGGAAUAUGUCAUGUAGCGGUGAAAUGCUUAGAUAUGACAUAGAACACCAAUUGCGAAGGCAGCUCACUGCGGGAUUAUUGACACUGAGGCACGAAAGCGUGGGGAUCAAACAGG